ACCCUGGACCAAAAUAGAAUUGCUUCUUUUCUUUCUGUAUUUUUAUGUCCCUGCAGAUGGCUUUCCUUCUGGGCUGGUAGGGGGACUGUGACCAUCCUGGUCCAGGAGCUGAUGAGCUGCAGUUGUUCAUCAGGGCCCAGGAAUGAAAGGAAUAUGACAGAGAGUUUAAAUAUUCAUAGCAGGCUUGGAAUGGAGAUGUAUGACUGGGUAUGGCUCGUGCACAGGCAAAGCUGGUUCAAAAAACUCCAGAGACUGUACUGGUGCUGUGUGUGGCAGUCUCCUUACAUAAAGGCAUUCCUGAUGUGCUCCUUGUGUGAGGGGAGAGGAGCCAGGAGCUGAGAUGGCCUCAAGUGGGAUGUGCAUUCCCCAACAUGGUCCCCCAAGGACCAAGAAGAGGGACAGAUGAUUGUGGCACCAUGUUGCAGUCCCAAACACAGCAACAUCAACGAGGCCAAUCAGGCAGAGUGUGAAUGU